GGGGAAUUUUGGACAAUGGGCGCAAGCCUGAUCCAGCAAUGCCGCGUGCAGGAUGAAGGCCUUCGGGUUGUAAAGCUCUUUCGGCCGGGAAGAAAUCGUGCAGGCUAAUACCCUGUAUGGAUGACGGUACCGGAAUAAGAAGCACCGGCUAACUACGUGCCAGCAGCCGCGGUAAUACGUAGGGUGCGAGCGUUAAUCGGAAUUACUGGGCGUAAAGCGUGCGCAGGCGGUUGAUUAAGACAGGCGUGAAAUCCCCGGGCUUAACCUGGGAACUGCGCUUGUGACUGGUCGGCUAGAGUACGGCAGAGGGGGGUGGAAUUCCACGUGUAGCAGUGAAAUGCGUAGAGAUGUGGAGGAACACCGAUGGCGAAGGCAGCCCCCUGGGCCGAUACUGACGCUCAUGCACGAAAGCGUGGGUAGCAAACA
rnacentral:rRNA from 1 species